rnacentral:tRNA from 1 species
GGCUUCGUAGCUCAUUUGAUAGGGCGCUUGCCGCGUUGAGGCACGGUGUUUCUGUCGCUGGUUCGAAUCCAGCUGAAGCCC